CCUACGGGAGGCAGCAGUGAGGAAUAUUGGUCAAUGGGCGGGAGCCUGAACCAGCCAAGCCGCGUGAGGGAAGAAGGUACAGCGUAUUGUAAACCUCUUUUGUCAGGGAACAAAGGCGGGGACUAGUCCCCGGAUGAGGGUACCUGAAGAAAAAGCAUCGGCUAACUCCGUGCCAGCAGCCGCGGUAAUACGGAGGAUGCGAGCGUUAUCCGGAUUUAUUGGGUUUAAAGGGUGCGCAGGCGGCGUGUUAAGUCAGCGGUAAAAGCCCGGGGCUCAACCCCGGCGAGCCGUUGAAACUGGCGGGCUGGAGUGGGAGAGAAGUACGCGGAAUGCGCGGUGUAGCGGUGAAAUGCAUAGAUAUCGCGCAGAACCCCGAUUGCGAAGGCAGCGUACCGGCUCCACACUGACGCUGAGGCACGAAAGCGUGGGUAUCGAACAGGAUUAGAUACCCUAGUAGUC
rnacentral:rRNA from 1 species